AGAGAGAGACAUGCGCGCAUAUCAAUAAGCGGAGGAAAAGAAACUAACAAGGAUUCCCUUAGUAACGGCGAGUGAAGCGGGAAGAGCUCAAAUUUGAAAUCUUCGAGGGUUUACCUUGACGAAUUGUAGUUUAAAGAAGUGUUUUCGGUUAGAGGAGUAGUAAAAGUUCUUUGGAAUAGGACAUCAUAGAGGGUGAGAAUCCCGUAUUUGACUAUUCUUUCUAGCUUUGUGAUACACUUUCAAAGAGUCGGAUUGUUUGGGAAUGCAGUCCAAAAUGGGUGGUAAAUUUCAUCUAAAGCUAAAUAUUGGCGAGAGACCGAUAGCGAACAAGUACCGUGAGGGAAAGAUGAAAAGAACUUUGAAAAGAGAGUUAAACAGUACGUGAAAUUGUCAAAAGGGAAGCGUUUGACACCAGUGUUGUUUUUUCCGAAAAUCAAUUAAGAAUGUUUUAUUUUUGAGGAGUUAUGACUUCAUCGGCUUGCUCCUUUCUUUAUGGAACUUUCUUAAUGCACUUUUCGGUUAACAAGUCAACAUCAAUUUCUUUUGUUGUAAAAGAAUAUGAGGAAGGUGGCUUUCUUUUCGGAGAAAGUGUUUAUAGCCUUGUACUUCUGCAAUCGGAGAGAUUGAGGUCUGCAGCGUAGAUCCCUUCGGGGUUAGAUACACUUUGUGCUAAGUUAUAGCUUUUCAUAGACAACUUGUUGACUAUGUUUAGUCUUGUAGCUUACUCGCUUGACUGCUAUUUUACCUACGCUUAGGAUGUUGACAGCAGUAUAGACUGU
rnacentral:rRNA from 1 species